AAUCAACGCUGGCGGCGUGCCUCAGACAUGCAAGUCGAACGAUUAAAAGCUCUCUUCGGAGAGUGUAUAGAGUGGCGCACGGGUGAGUAACACGUAAGUAAUCUACCUUCGAGUGGGGAAUAACGUCCGGAAACGGACGCUAAUACCGCAUAAUGCAGCGGCAUCGCAAGAUGACAGUUGUUAAAGAUUUAUCGCUUGAAGAGGAGCUUGCGGCAGAUUAGCCAGUUGGUAAGGUAACGGCUUACCAAGGCUACGACCUGUAUCCGGUCUAAGAGGACGGUCGGACACACUGACACUGAAUAACGGGUCAGACUCCUACGGGAGGCAGCAGUCGGGAAUUUUGGGC
rnacentral:rRNA from 1 species